GUGCCAGCCGCCGCGGUAAUACGAAGGGUGCAAGCGUUACUCGGAAUUACUGGGCGUAAAGCGUGCGUAGGUGGUUGUUUAAGUCUGCUGUGAAAGCCCUGGGCUCAACCUGGGAAUUGCAGUGGAUACUGGGCGACUAGAGUGUGGUAGAGGAUAGUGGAAUUUCCGGUGUAGCAGUGAAAUGCGUAGAGAUCGGAAGGAACAUCUGUGGCGAAGGCGACUAUCUGGGCCAACACUGACACUGAGGCACGAAAGCGUGGGGAGCAAACAGGAUUAGAUACCCCCGUAGUCC
rnacentral:rRNA from 1 species